rnacentral:rRNA from 1 species
AAACCAACCGGGAUUGCCUUAGUAACGGCGAGUGAAGCGGCAAAAGCUCAAAUUUGAAAUCUGGUACCUUCGGUGCCCGAGUUGUAAUUUGGAGAGGGCAACUUUGGGGCCGUUCCUUGUCUAUGUUCCUUGGAACAGGACGUCAUAGAGGGUGAGAAUCCCGUGUGGCGAGGAGUGCGGUUCUUUGUAAAGUGCCUUCGAAGAGUCGAGUUGUUUGGGAAUGCAGCUCUAAGUGGGUGGUAAAUUCCAUCUAAAGCUAAAUAUUGGCGAGAGACCGAUAGCGAACAAGUACAGUGAUGGAAAGAUGAAAAGAACUUUGAAAAGAGAGUGAAAAAGUACGUGAAAUUGUUGAAAGGGAAGGGCAUUUGAUCAGACGUGGUGUUUUGUGCCCUCUGCUCCUUGUGGGUAGGGGAAUCUCGCAUUUCACUGGGCCAGCAUCAGUUUUGGUGGCAGGAUAAAUCCAUAGGAAUGUAGCUUGCCUCGGUAAGUAUUAUAGCCUGUGGGAAUACUGCCAGCUGGGACUGAGGACUGCGACGUAAGUCAAGGAUGCUGGCAUAAUGGUUAUAUGCCGC